ensembl:lncRNA
CACAACCACUGCCAACUCUAUUGAGCUGCUGCCAUGUUGCCAUGGCUACAUGGGAGGGGCCAGCCGUUACAACUCCAGGAAGUCAGAGGAGGAGCAUAAUUUGAGCUCUCCUCCCAAGCGUAUGUAUGCCCUGUACCAUACUUCAUACAGUGGACAUACUGCUCUGUCCAGAAGUCUUCAUCACUACAACAGCAUGGAGGACACCUGCAGGUUACCCCCGACAUGCCUCCCAUACCCCCUCAACUCCAAUGGCAGCCAUCACCACCAUCAUCUCCACCAGCACCAUCACAACCACCACCAGCUGGGGCAGAAGCAACUUGAGCCAGUUAUCCUGCAUGACUUGCCCCCUUAUCAGGCC